CGUUUUGAGAUUGCAGACGUAACACAAUUUAUGAAGACGCUUUAUUUCUUAAUGAAUUGGGGGAGUGGCCUGGCUAUUGGGCGUAAUUACCCAAAUCGGCUGUCAGAAAGGUCUCUGUGGCGCAAUUGGUCAGCGCGUUCGGCUGUUAACCGAAAGGUUGGUGGUUCAAGCCCACCCAGGGACGUUUUGACAUUGUAAAGAAAUGCAGACGUAACAUAAUUUAUGAAGACGCUUUAUUUCUUAAUGAAUUGGGGGAGUGGCCUUGCCAUUGGGCGUAAUUACCCAAAUCGGCGAUCAGAAAGGUCUCUGUGGCGCAAUUGGUCAGCGCGUUCGGCUGUUAACCGAAAGGUUGGUGGUUCAACCCCACCCAGGGACGUUUUGAGAUUGUAAAGAAAUGCAGACGUAACAUAAUUCAUAAAGACGCUUUAUUUCUUAAUAAAUUGGGGGAGUGGCCUUGCCGUUGGGCGUAAUUACCCAAAUCGGCUGUCAGAAAGGUCUCUGUGGCGCAAUUGGUCAGCGCGUUCGGCUGUUAACCGAAAGGUUGGUGGUUCAAGCCCACCCAGGGACGUUUUGAGAUUGUAAAGAAAUGCAGACGUAACAUAAUUUAUGAAGACGCUUUAUUUCUUAAUGAAUUGGGGGAGUGGACUUGCCAUUGGGCGUAAUUACCCAGAUCGGCAAUAAGAAAGGUCUCUGUGGCGCAAUUGGUCAGCGCGUUCGGCUGUUAACCGAAAGGUUGGUGGUUCAACCCCACCCAGGGACGUUUUGAGAAUGUAAAGAAAUGCAGACGUAACAUAAUUUAUAAAGACACUUUAUGUCUUAUCGAAUUGGGGGAGUGGCCUUGCCAUUGGGCGUAAUUACCCAGAUAGGCGAUAAGAAAGGUCUCUGUGGUGCAAUUGGUCAGCGCGUUCGGCUGUUAACCGAAAGGUUGGUCGUUCAAGCCCACCCAGGGACGUUUUGAGAUUGCAGACGUAACAUAAUUCAUGAAGACGCUUUAUUUCUUAAUGAAUUGGGGGAGUGGCCUUGCCAUUGGGCGUAAUUACCCAAGUCGACGAUCAGAAAGGUCUCUGUGGCGCAAUUGGUCAGCGCGUUCGGCUGUUAACUGAAAGGUUGGUGGUUCAAGCCCACCCAGGGACGUUUUGAGAUUGCAGACGUAACAUAAUUCAUGAAGACGCUUUAUUUCUUAAUGAAUUGGGGGAGUGGCCUUGCCAUUGGGCGUAAUUACCCAAAUCAGAUGUCAGAAAGGUCUCUGUGGCGCAAUUGGUCAGCGCGUUCGGCUGUUAACCGAAAGGUUGGUGGUUCAAGCCCACCCAGGGACGUUUUG
ensembl:lncRNA